GAAAAGAGUACUUUUUUGUUUGAGUCUUUGAGAGUCUCUUAAUUCCUUGGAAAUAAUUAUCAGAAAUAUUUAAAGUUUUUUCCCCACAAAAAUGUUAUAUUUUUCUUUGUCCUUAAAGAACCUAUUUAUACUUUUUCGCAUAGACAAAUCCGUGAUUGUAUUAGGGUUUGGAGUUGGGGACAGAGUCUCAGUGCGGGUUGCGACUUGCGAGCUCCAAGAUACUUCGUUUCGUCAAUCUUCUCUUGAUUCCGUUCAGGAACACAACGCUCUUGGAACACUGAAAGACGGUAGAAAUUGAAAAGAAAGAAAGAGAAGGUUGUUAUGGCGGGGCAGGCAGGGAAAGCUGCAGCUGGUAAUGUGGCGAAGGCGGUAGCGGCAGCGGAGUAUCAGUAUCCGUGGCGUGAGAAGUUGGCUAAAUACAAGGAUGAACUUGCCAAGGGUGUGUGGGGGUACUGGGAGCUGGGGGCAUGGAAGCCCCUCAGCAUCAGCGCCAGGCGGAGGGCUAGGCUUCGCAAGGAAGUUCUUCUUGCUGGGGAAGAUUGGCAGUUUGAUCCGGAAAGGAAGGAGAUGAGAACAAGGAGGAAAGGGCACAAGUGCGAUAGGAUAGCCGCGGAGAAGAGGGAGAACACGGCCAGGUUGAUGGAGAAGAUGCCGGAAAUGUUGCUAGAUUACAAGAAGAGAAGGUGGCAGAAGAAGAUGAAGGAAGAAGACAAAGGCAAACUGUGAUUUUGCUUGUCAUUCUUUUUGCUCAAAUCUGCCUAUGCAAAUUUAUAUACUUGCUUUAGGUAGUAGCUGGUCUAGUCUAGUCCCUUCCGAGGCAUCUCAAAGACAUCCGCAUGCUUCCUCGAUACGUUGUUGAAACUCAAAGCUAAGUGUACUGUUGUUCAAUCUUUUUCUUCCAUAUCAUUGAUAAUGUUGCCUUCUAUUACAGUGAUUGAAUUUUGAUAUUGACGAAUAGCUCUGCAAAAUACUUAAGCAUAGUCUACUUCAUCUUUUCAGUUAA